UACGGAGGAUGCAAGCGUUAUCCGGAAUUAUUGGGCGUAAAGCGUCCGCAGGUGGUUGAACAAGUCUGCUGUCAAAGCGCGGAGCUUAACUCCGUAAAGGCGGUGGAAACUGUUUAACUGGAGUACGGUAGGGGUAGCGGGAUUUCCCAGUGUAGCGGUGAAAUGCGUAGAUAUCAGGAGGAACACCUGCGGUGUAGACGGCUUACUGGACCAUAACUGACGCUGAGGCACGAAAGCGUGGGUAGCAAACAGG
rnacentral:rRNA from 1 species